rnacentral:piRNA from 1 species
UGCCCUGAGAACCAGGCAGCUUAUACCUGAC